rnacentral:lncRNA from 10 species
CCUAGAUUCCCAAUAGUUUUAGUGCUAUGAGCAUACAAUUUUGACAUUCAGUCCCUCAGAACUACACACAUUCUAAUUUUGGUAGUAUGAAUAAUCUCUCCUAUGUGAUAAGUUAUUUAACCUUCUAAUAUUUCUUAGAAUCGAAAAGAACAAAUGAGCUGCAGCAAAGAAUGGCAAAUAACUUUUAUGCUUAACACAAUUUAAUAACCUGAAAUGAAGUAAGUAUGUGCUAUGUUUCCAUUAAAAAGUUUCCAGCCACAAUUAAUUGAACGAAAACUUGUCUUGUUCCAAGAUUAUUCUUGGAAAUGUAAUUUUAAAAUCUGCUUGAAAUGAGGAAACUUACUUUUUUAUACCAUAUGAAAGCAAUUUCAUUUUUUAGGAAUGAUUUUUGGAUAGACUUCCGAUUGGAUAUUUUCCAUUGGAACUAGCAGCAUAGGGGGUCGGGAGGGGGGAGGGGAGGGAAGCAAUUCUGUGUUCUUUUGCCAGCACUGACAAAGGUCUGGUUGUCAGUGAUACCUUUACAGCUAAAUUUACUCCAGAGUGACAGAAACAGGUGCACCUCGGCCUGCCAGACACUUGUGCAGAGAGAUCACGCAUCUCACGGCUUGACGAUCAAGGGGGCAAAGCCUCGGUCUUCAUAGAAAAGGAGAGGAGGCAAACGCAGCCCAAACUGGGGGGUUUCUCUUCAAAGCCAGCUGGUCUGGCUUUAUUCUACAGGAAUUUUUUUACCUGUCAGGGUUUGGACAACAAAGCCCUCAGCAGGUGCUGACGGGUACAACUUCCUGGAGAAGCAGAAAGGCACUGAGAAAACAUCUUGCUCUGUUGCUCAGGCUGGAGCGCAAUGGUGCCAUCGUAGCUUACUGUAACCUUGAACGUCUGUGCUCAAGCAAUCUUCCUGCCUCAGCCUCCUGAGUAGCUGGGACUACAGGUAUGCAUCACAAUGCCCAGCGAAUUAAAAACAACCUUUUUUUUUUUUUUUUUAAGAGAUGGGGUCUCACUCUGUCACCUAAAUUGGAGAGCAGUGGCACUGUCAUAGCUCACUGUGGCCUUGAAGUUCUGGGCUGAAGCAAUCCUUCUGCCUCAGCUUCCUGAGUGGCUGGGACUACAGGCAUGAACCACUACAUUCGGCUAAUUUUAAUUUUUUUUUGUAGAGACAGGGUCUUGUUCUAUUGUCCAAGCUGGUCUUGAAUUCCUGACCUCAAGCAAUCCUCCUGCCUCUGCCUCCCAAAGCACUGGGAUUAUUACAGGUAUGAGCCACCGCACUGGGCCGUCAUGCUUACUCUUCGGAGAGAGAAGUGAAGUAUCUGAACGCCUCAGCCUGAGAAUGGGUCAUUUGCAAAGUAAAUAAAGGCAAUGCCAAACGUCAGUACAACAAGCAAUUGAACAGAAUGAUUGCAAACUGCUAAUGAAGGAGAAGGCAAGGUGCGGUUAGGAUGAACUGUAGAAGGACCCGUCCCCUAGAGCUCAUUGAGCAUCCACCCUGCUGUCCGGCUGUCCUCUCCAUAGGGGGCUCGAUGGUCUUUGCCGACUUGAGGAAAUAGGUCACUGUAUUGCAGCAGAUCCUUGGUCGUGGGGCUGGGUUGGUCAUUGCCACUAUUUUAUGGGAUGGGGAAUUUGGAAGAUUAUGAAGUGUCAGCUGGUUGCCCUUGGACAUGCAGUGAGAGGGAGGAUUCUGUUUUGCUGGAAUUUAUAGUUUUUCUUUCUUUCUUUUUUUUUU